UACAGAGGGUGCGAGCGUUGUCCGGAAUCACUGGGCGUAAAGGGCGCGUAGGCGGAUUGUUAAGUCGGGGGUGAAAUCCUGGAGCUCAACUCCAGAACUGCCUUCGAUACUGGCGAUCUCGAGUUCGGGAGAGGUGAGUGGAACUGCGAGUGUAGAGGUGAAAUUCGUAGAUAUUCGCAAGAACACCAGUGGCGAAGGCGGCUCACUGGCCCGAUACUGACGCUGAGGUGCGAAAGCGUGGGGAGCAAACAGG
rnacentral:rRNA from 1 species